rnacentral:pre_miRNA from 1 species
AGGGGGGUGCUGGAUCCUGGGCUAUGUCCCCUGGCACCUUGGGCUUCAGGGCCUGAGCUGCUGGAAUCGCACUCCUGGGCCGUGCAGCCCCCU